GCCAUUUUCAAUUUUCAGAGUCUAUUGACUGUAAACUUGCUGCUUAUAUGUACGUGUGCUUAUGUCCGAUCCCUGGCACCCAGCGUCCUGGACAGAAAUAAAACUGGACUAUUUGGAAUAUUUUGGAAGUGUGCCCGAAUUGGCGAACGUAAGAGUCCUUAUGUCGCCAUAUGCUGUAUAGUGAUGGCCUUCAGCAUCCUCUUCAUACAG
rnacentral:lncRNA from 14 species